rnacentral:tRNA from 2 species
GCGGGUGUAGCUCAGUGAUUAGAGCACCACCUUGCCAAGGUGGGGGUCGAGGGUUUGAAUCCCUUCACCCGCU